GUAAGCAGACUUUUUUAAGCAGAAAAAUAUUUUUUAAAAACAUUUCAAUGCUGGGUGUCAAUUUUAUAAACGUCUACUUUCAGAAAAGCUCUCCUCAAUCAAAUUCUUUUAUAAAAUUGUGAUACAAAACAAAUAAAAGUAUGUACCAGUCUUAGUAUACAUCUUCUUUAUAAAAAAUAACUCCUGUAUUUUCCGACAGCAAAAUAUCUACAUUUCAAGAAUGCACAUAUAACAUUGCUGAAUCCAACAACAACCUCCACAUACUUUUUCCCAAAGCCAAAUAGCGUCAGGAAAUUGCAGAACCUGAAGUGGUGACCAGCGAAAACUGUCAAUAUGCCUCAAUGCUUUGGAUCCUGUUGCCCUAAGGAGUAUCCCAUAAAAGAAGCUAGACCAAGGCCCGGGAGCUGGCCCCCUUGCUACUACCCACCAGCUAUACCAUGUUGCAAACCUCCGCACCCAACUUUCUGUUACCCAUGUGGCCCUACAUACACCUCAAGCUGUCCGCCCUGUACGUUUUUUAAGAAUUGUUUCCCCUAAGCAAACUUGAUUUUAGAGCGUGCAAAGGUGAAUAUUGAACAUAGUUAUCGGAUAAAAACACCAACAAACUGUUGCAAUACCCGCCCACUUAAU